UAGAGUUUGAUCAUGGCUCAGAUUGAACGCUGGCGGCAGGCCUAACACAUGCAAGUCGAGCGGAAACGAGUUGUUUGAACCUUCGGGGGACGACAACGGCGUCGAGCGGCGGACGGGUGAGUAAUGCCUGGGAAAUUGCCCUGAUGUGGGGGAUAACCAUUGGAAACGAUGGCUAAUACCGCAUGAUAGCUUCGGCUCAAAGAGGGGGACCUUCGGGCCUCUCGCGUCAGGAUAUGCCCAGGUGGGAUUAGCUAGUUGGUGAGGUAAGGGCUCACCAAGGCGACGAUCCCUAGCUGGUCUGAGAGGAUGAUCAGCCACACUGGAACUGAGACACGGUCCAGACUCCUACGGGAGGCAGCAGUGGGGAAUAUUGCACAAUGGGCGCAAGCCUGAUGCAGCCAUGCCGCGUGUAUGAAGAAGGCCUUCGGGUUGUAAAGUACUUUCAGCAGUGAGGAAGAUGGUGUGUUUAAUACGCGCAUCAUUUGACGUUAGCUGCAGAAGAAGCACCGGCUAACUCCGUGCCAGCAGCCGCGGUAAUACGGAGGGUGCGAGCGUUAAUCGGAAUUACUGGGCGUAAAGCGCAUGCAGGUGGUUUGUUAAGUCAGAUGUGAAAGCCCGGGGCUCAACCUCGGAAUAGCAUUUGAAACUGGCAGACUAGAGUACUGUAGAGGGGGGUAGAAUUUCA
rnacentral:rRNA from 1 species